ensembl:snRNA U6 U6 spliceosomal RNA
GUGCUCACUUCAACAGCACAUAUACUAAAAUUGGAACAAUGCAGAGAUUAGCAUGGCCCAUGCAGGAUGAUACGCAAAUUCAUUAAGUAUUUCAUAUUAAA